UUAGUAGAUGGAGUCAUAUCGCUGAUGCUACUGCUGCCCAGAGGGAUCUGCUACAGGUUGACAGAGGAGGGGAUCCUGGGAAGGACAGAACAACAAACAUCGCAAUCCACUUUUGUGACACCUGAGAAGCAGCAGCCUGCUGUUCUUUUCCGUAACAGGCUUGGCUGGUGUGAAGAUACAGAGCCACCCUGCAGUCUGGAUGAAUGUCUCUUGGUUCGGCCAUCUAGCUCCAUAAAGCUGCAGAGGUGAAAGAUCACUUUAGCACCCAGCAUGCCCACCCUGAGCCGCCGGUCCAGAUUCCUGCUUGGAUUAGUUCAGGUUGCUGGCUUCAGCAGCAAGAGAGAACACGGCAACAUGCUAGAAAAACACAGGAUACACCAAGCCUUUGGACAAAGAUAUAUCCAUGUCACUUUUAUGAUGGGGUGCAUAUUUUGAUUCUGGUGAGUUUGAACCGGCCGUAUGUGUGAAUGGGCUACAGUUACCUGUGGACACCCGAAGUAAACCUAAUGUGUUGCGUAGGCUGUCAACCUUGCCCUGUUCUCCUCCCACCACAGGUGACUGCACCCACAUUACAAAGGUUUACCAUGUUAAAUGAUCCUGGAAUGAUUGAUUUGUGGAAAACACUUUCCCGGUCUCUAGCCAGUUGGAACCGGUUAAAACCAACGUAGACUAGGAAAUGAAAAUUAGGCACAGAAUCAAGUGUCAACGGAGCUGCUGUGAGAAAGAGAGCUAUCACAUGAUGUAGUUGUGCUGAUUACCAUCUAAGGAUUACUCUAGGUAUGGUAAUGUUCGCCUGUUGGUCCAGACUUAAAUAACUCAACAAAUACUAGAUCGCCUUUAUCAAAUUCAUUAUAGCCCAUCUAGGCCACAUGACAUAUGAUCAUGGGAGAAAGGCAGGUUUUGGUUUAUUAUACUUUAUAAUUUCAAUUUCAUGGUAUGUUGUCAUGUUUCAGGAUCCUGAAAAUCACUAUACAAGAAAUGCAUUUAGUGUGGUGGUGAUGCAGAUGUACUUGGACUGUGAAUGAACUUGACACUGAAAAGCUUCUGAAUUCCAAACAGGACAACCAAAGGACAGUUCCUUUUCAAACUUUCUUAUUCGUUGUUCUAUUACUUUCCCACCUUGAGAAGCUGAAUCUGCUUUUUUAUUUUUAUUUGACGUAAAGAUCAGGUGGUCAAAGUUAUUACAAUCCAUCUUUUGGGAACCAUGAAUGUCUGUCCCUAAUUUCAUGGCCAUCUAUUGUGUAGCUGUGCAGACAACAACAGACUGUAAACCAAAAAUGUGAAUAAGUGAAAAGUUUGACCUGCCUGUGGCACUAGAAGAAAGGUCAGGUGAUCCUUUAAAUAAUUAGAAAUUCUCCUCAAGGGAGGAGACCUUUUAAAACCUUUGGCAAUUAUGGCAAUCUAUUAUUUCAGUCAGACAUUACAUGGUCAUGAGCCACGGUAGUAAGACGACAAUAAAACAUGAAGUCUUGCCAGUGCUGAAGUGUAUAAAAGCCAGAGACAUCAGUUUAAUAUGAGCAAUGUAUACUUUUCCCAUUAAGCUGGAGCUUAAACUCUUCAGCUGCCUCAGCGCACAUGCAACACAUCACUAAAUGUAAUCAACAGAUAUUCCUCCUUUAUAAGAAACAUAUUAACAUUUUUGCCUUCCUCACAUAGGGUGUGAGCUUUUAUGGUGCGAAUUUAUUUAAGGCACAAACAUUUUUUAUCAGCUAGCGUAGGAGGUGGGUGGGACCUCAUGAUUCCCACAAGGAGACAUUCCACUGAAAGAAAAAGAUAAACUAAAUUCAGAACCUGUUAGGCUCCAAAUUCAGCGUGUACAUCAUAUCACAGCCUCCUGUUAGGAAAAAAAAAGAUCAAAGAACAGACUGAUUGUUAUUUGCAACAGUCCUGAAGUCUACAGUGCUUAUCAAUGUGAAACUCUCAUAGUUCUCCCAUUACAAAUGAGUAGCAUAUGCUAUUCAUAGAACUGACAAAAGUCGACAGACAUCGUCAUCUCAAGAGCUUUAAUCAUACAUAGAAAUUUAGUUCAACAGUACCAUUCAAUUAGAAUGUUUUAGCAGUAUGUAUAUUUAGUGUAAAGAGCAUUGUUUUUUUUUUCCUUUUUCUGAUGAGGAAUAUCCACAAGGAUGAUAGAAGCUUUCAGAAAUACACCAGAGAUUGAGAGAGAGAGAGAAGAGCAGAAAAGAGACUGAGUACAUGACUAAGUUGUAACACCUCAGACUACAUUUUUUAAACACCUCAAAAGGCGACAUUUAUCUGUGGUUUAUGUACCAGUGUCCAUCCUACUUGAUGCUUUUUUUUCCCCUUUUCUUUUCAUUUUAGCUGAGGAGCAGCAGAGCCUUGAAUGCUUUCAGAAACUAAAACAACUGGCGCGAGCUCGGUUUGAUCAAUGCCCUAUGAUGCAGAAACUCCUAGCAGUUUAUAUGACACCUCCUGUUGACCUAAUCAAAGUGGUGGGUCGGGUUGUUGACACUGCUUCAGAGACAGGCGGGGUGGGGUGAGCAUGAGUGGAGGACAUUACUGCAAUCGAGUGUCAUAUUAUAGGCAUGAAAAGAAUCAACCACAUCCAUCUAUGAAUUCAUCCAUUUCUCUAUCCAUACAUCCAUCCAUCGAUCCAAACAUCCAACCUAUCAGAAAACACCACCAUGAAACAUUGUAUGUGCUGUUUGUGCUAUCUUAGAAGCGCCACAACAACAAUUCCAACCAGCUAAAGUCCCAAGCAAA